GUACAGACUCUUGAGCGGGAGCCAAGCUGACUGGACUAUGAACAAGGCCUCUGUGCUGACCUCUCAGGUGUCCAGGGCAGGGUGUAGGAAGCCGCCUUCCUCUGACAGGAUGGUACUUGUUUGGGACCUGGUGUAGAUGAGGAAGCCCCAAGACCCAGUGUACACAGGGGAAUACCCUUAGGGUCUAGAGUACGAGGAGCAACAACACCCCCAAGUCUCAUCUCAUCAGGAGCCUGGCUGAGGUGAUGGCCAGGCUCAGGCCUCCCUGGCCCUCAUCCACCUGGCUCAUUCCUUGUCAGUGUGAGCUGACCACCUGCAUGGGUGCUGGAAGCUCAGAGCAGAAGCUCCUGGGAGAGCAGGCUGUGAACCUGGGUGUACUGUGUGCACCUCAGAAGGACCAUGGGGGCAGCACAGGAAUGCCUUCAGAGCCAGGUUUGAGAUACAAAGAUGAAUCCUGCCGACAGCAUCACUGGGGCCACAGCAAAGGAGGCAGAGAAGUUACUGUGGUCUUCGGGAUAGAGCAAACAGCAAGGGGCCAACAGUAGAAGGCGAGAAACACUCAUCCCUCCUAUGCUUUGCUGUGUGGAGGACACACUGGCUACAGAUGGCCAGUUAUGGGCAGAGCUAUCCCAUGAGGCUACCACCUGUCAAGGAUGCUGAAAGAACAAUUCCUGAUUGUAAAGGUAGACCACUAAUUCUCCAACCAAGCUUUGCUUAUGGGAAACCUACUGUGGGAGAUGGCUUUCCCCAGUAAUGGGGCUGUGGCUCUGGAACUGUGUUUAGCAGCUUUACUAUGAUACACUACAUUUUAAAAAACUCAUUUGCAAAGUGUGUAUGUAAUUCAAUGAGUUUUGGUGUUUCCACUAUUAUUUUUAUUGUAUGAGUGUUUUGUCUGCAUGUCUGUAAACAUACCAUGUACGUGCUGCCCAUGAAGGCCAGAAGAGGACAUGGAAUGCCCUGGAACUGGAGUCACAGACAGCCGUGAGAUGCUGUGUGGGUGCCGCGUACCCAGGUCCUCUGUAAAGCAAGUGCUCUUAACUGCUGAGCAAUCUCUCCAGCCCCAUCAUCUAUGUUUAGAACAUUUCCUGCACCCCGAAAAUUAGCCUGGUCCUAGACAGCAGUCACACCCUAU